UAUGACCAUUUGGAUGCCGGUGACAUGACAAAAGUGGAAAAAAGCACGAAUGAGGCCAUGGAGUGAAUGAAUAACAAGCUGAAUCUGCAGAAAAAGCAGAGCCUGACCGUGGAGCCAGUUGUCAAGGGAAGAGAUACAGAAGCUAAAAUUAAGGAGCUGACAAAUAUCUGUAGCCCUAUAAUUUCAAAGCCAAAACCCAAAGAGGAACCUCCAAAAGAGGAGUAAAAAAAUGCAGAGCAGAAUGGACCCGUGGAUGGACAGGGAGACAGCCCGGGCCCUCGGGCUGCGGAGCAGGAUGCAGACGCAGCUGUGCCUUCAGAUCCAGACAAGAAGCUUCCUGAGAUGGACAUUGAUUGAUUCCAGCUAUUGUUUAUAUUAAAACAGACUAUUAUAAAGCU